GACAGGAAGGAGGAGGAUAAGGGAUGAUUGCUGGGGGUUGUGAGGUCAGAGGAAGUGUAAGACCUGGAAAUGACUUGCUAGAACACUUAUUAGUAAUUCUGGAGAGGAAUAAGGAGGGGGCAGCCUGAGGUCUUACAUAUGUGAAUAUAUUCUCUAUCCUCAGAUACAGGAGAUGUCAUAUAUUCUCUGAAUUCUCAUGCACACAGAUGUUCCUUUACAUAUUAUGUGAGAGACUCCAGAGUCAUAUAGUGAAUAGAUAUAUCAAUGAAAUGGGCUGGAUCUCUCUGUAUAUAGGGAUAUAGAGCCAAAUACUGAGAUAUCUCCCAAGUAGGAAGGGAAGAGGGAGAUGCAGAGAUCCCCCUGAUGAGAAUAGUCUGAUGACACAAAGACCCCAUUACAUCAUAAUAUGCUGACUGGAGGGGGCAGGGUCAUAAGAGGCAGCAGAGGUGUAGGGAUAGAGACACCCCUGGCGCUCUGCUCAUCCUUCACAGUCACUAUAGUCAUCUCCCUCCUUGACAGACUCCCUGGAGAGAGCAAAAGGCCGCUAUUGGAUGUCUGAGAGGGGAGAGAGGUCCAGAAAUCUACCCAAAGGCAACUCUGAGGAUCAAUUGGCAGAGAAGUGGUGAGGAAAUAGAAGCCACAGACUGCUGAAUCCCGACUCAAAAGAAAGAUAAGACCCCUGCUAGUCCCUCCAGAACAACAGCUUUCCAUUCCAAGGUGAGACAGUCCCAGUAGGAAGGGUUGACCCCUGUUGCUCAGGAGGAAGGUCCAGGGAGAAUCAUGGGCUAUGGUAGACUUUAGGCAUAGAACAUUGCCUGAACUAGUUGGAUGAGGCCUGGCUCAUCAAAAACCAUUAGACUGGCAGCGUUUUUGUCAUAGAGGGAGGAGGCUGUUGUUUGGGUGAAGGGAGAUGGAGAGGCAAUGAUGGAGAGGAGUCUGAAGGGGCUUGUAGAUUUGAGGAUGGAGGCUGGAAGGGAUCUGAGGUCAUAUUCUCCAACCUAAUUUUUUUUGUUUUUUGUUUUUAAAACAUUAUUUUAUUUGGUCAUUUUCAUACAUUAUUCAUUGGAAACAGAUAAUUUUCUUUUCGUUCCCACCCCCCAACCUAAUCUUUUGACAGAAAGGGUUACAUGAAGUGAAGAAUAGGGGAUGGGUUUGGUCUAGGUUACACAGCCAGGAAGGGAAUGGGCAAAAGCAGGCCCUGAGUCCAGGAUCCUCGUGUCUGCCAAGCAAGCUGGCUUACAUCUUGGCAGCUACCUCUUCUGAGAGCCAAGCUUUAUGGACUCAGGUUGCCUCAGAAUCAGAUAAAUUCCCCAUAGAGCCAGGUCUUUUGGGAGUCUUCAACCAUAGAGGAGAAGAGGUCAAGUUAAGGGGUUUGGAUCAGCCUAGUGGAGAAGUGACCUUCCCUUAAAGUGACCUUAGGAAUACAGGGAUUUGCCCAGCCCACUCAUACAUUUCUGGAACCUCUUUGAACAUAUUCCUUGGAUUUAGAGGUAAAGCUCAGUGAAGGUCCAUGUUGCUCAUCUCAGAGAAUUCCUCCUCUGGGGUCUCAGCAUCUUGAAGGAGUUCUUGGGCAGGAGGAAUGGGGUAGAGAGAGGGCAAAGAUGGGUAUCAUGAAGGGAAUAGGGAUCAAGAAAGGCUUGGUGGUAGUCAUGGAUUCAGUGCUAUUAUAUGGAAAAUGAAGAUCAUGAACUGAAUAAAGGUGGGAACUGUGCAGUUGUUUAAUGGAUU
rnacentral:lncRNA from 1 species